GACGAACGCUGGCGGCGUGCUUAACACAUGCAAGUCGAACGGAAAGGCCCCCUUGUGGGGUACUCGAGUGGCGAACGGGUGAGUAACACGUGAGUAACCUACCCUUGACUUUGGGAUAACUUCAGGAAACUGGGGCUAAUACCGGAUAGGAGCUCCUGCUGCAUGGUGGGGGUUGGAAAGUUUCGGCGGUUGGGGAUGGACUCGCGGCUUAUCAGCUUGUUGGUGGGGUAGUGGCUCACCAGGGCUUUGACGGGUAGCCGGCCUGAGAGGGUGACCGGCCACAUUGGGACUGAGAUACGGCCCAGACUCCUACGGGAGGCAGCAGUGGGGAAUAUUGCACAAUGGGCGGAAGCCUGAUGCAGCAACGCCGCGUGCGGGAUGACGGCCUUCGGGUUGUAAACCGCUUUCGCCUGUGACGAAGCGUGAGUGACGGUAAUGGGUAAAGAAGCACCGGCUAACUACGUG
rnacentral:rRNA from 1 species